rnacentral:rRNA from 1 species
GCCAGACUCCUACGGGAGGCAGCAGUGGGGAAUAUUGCACAAUGGGGGAAACCCUGAUGCAGCGACGCCGCGUGAGUGAAGAAGUAUUUCGGUAUGUAAAGCUCUAUCAGCAGGGAAGAGAAUGACGGUACCUGACUAAGAAGCCCCGGCUAACUACGUGCCAGCAGCCGCGGUAAUACGUAGGGGGCAAGCGUUAUCCGGAUUUACUGGGUGUAAAGGGAGCGUAGACGGCUGGCCAAGUCUGAAGUGAAAGCCCGGGGCUUAACCCCGGAACGGCUUUGGAAACUGGCCGGCUGGAGUGCUGGAGAGGCAGGCGGAAUUCCUGGUGUAGCGGUGAAAUGCGUAGAUAUCAGGAGGAACACCGGUGGCGAAGGCGGCCUGCUGGACAGUAACUGACGUUGAGGCUCGAAAGCGUGGGGAGCAAACAGGAUUAGAUACCCUCGUA